ACUCAGAAUGGUUACUGGACAAGAGUUGGAAAGCUCCAAGGGUUGGGCUGUUCGCCCAUUAAAGCGGUAGGUGAGCUGGGUUCAGAACGUCGUGAGACAGUUCGGUCCAUAUCUGGUGUGGGCGUUAGAGCAUUGAGAGGACCUUUCUCUAGUACGAGAGGACCGGGAAGACGCACCUCUGGUGUACCAGUUAUCGUGCCCACGGUAAACGCUGGGUAGCCAAGUGCGGAGCGGAUAACUGCUGAAAGCAUCUAAGUAGUAAGUCUACCCCAAGAUGAGUGCUCUCCUAUUCCGACUUCCCCAGA
rnacentral:lncRNA from 1 species